UGUGUGUGUGUGUCUAGCUGUGUGUGUGUGUGUGUGUGUGUGUGUGUGUGUGUGUGUGUGUGUGUGUGUGUGUGUGUGUGUGUGUGUGUGUGUCUAGCUGUGUGUGUGUCUAGCUGUGUGUGUGUGUGUGUCUAGCUGCGUGUGUGUGUGUGUCUAGCUGUGUGUGUGUGUCUAGCUGUGUGUGUGUGUGUGUGUCUAGCUGUGUGUGUGUGUGUCUGUGUGUGUGUGUGUGUCUAGCUGUGUGUGUGUGUCUAGCUGUGUGUGUGUGUCUAGCUGUGUGUGUGUGUCUAGCUGUGUGUGUGUGUCUAGCUGUGUCUGUGUGUGUGUGUGUGUGUCUAGCUGUGUGUGUGUGUGUGUGUGUCUAGCUGUGUGUGUGUGUCUAGCUGUGUGUGUGUGUCUAGCUGUGUGUGUGUGUCUAGCUGUGUGUGUGUGUCUAGCUGUGUGUGUGUGUCUAGCUGUGUGUGUGUGUGUGUCUAGCUGCGUGUGUGUGUCUAGCUGUGUGUGUGUGUGUCUAGCUGCGUGUGUGUGUG
ensembl:lncRNA